rnacentral:rRNA from 1 species
CCUACGGGUGGCAGCAGUGAGGAAUAUUGGUCAAUGGGCGCGAGCCUGCACCAGCCAAGUAGCGUGAAGGAUGACUGCCCUACGGGUUGUAAACUUCUUUUAUAAAGGAAUAAAGUGAGGCCCGUUUGCCUUUUUGUAUGUACUUUAUGAAUAAGGAUCGGCUUACUCCGUGCCAGCAGCCGCGGUACUACGGAGGUUCCUCGCUUUAUCCGGAUUUAUUGGGUUUAAAGGGAGCGUAGAUGGGUUUUUAAGUCAGUUGUGAAAUUUUGCGGCUCAAACGUAAAAUUGCAAUUGUUCCUGGCAGUCUUGAUGACAGUUGAGGUAGGCGGAAUUCGUGGUGUAGCGGUGAAAUGCUUAGAUAGCACGAAGAACUCCGAUGGAGAAGGCAGCUUACUAAACUGCCACUGACAUUGAUGCUCGAAAGUGUGGGUAGCAAACAGGAUUAGAUACCCCAGUAGUC